UCCCUUUUUUUUUUUUUUUUUUCUCCCUUUAUCUCCACGGCUAUGCAUGUUCCACUCUUGUCCCCUCCUGUCCUUCCUGUCUGUCUGGACGGGACCAUUCUACUCAGUUCCUUCAAAGGUCUGUCCUUGGCUCUUGUUUCCAUUUGCUACCAUUUUAUCCCUCAGCACAGACCUUCUCUUACACAUGGCUUUAUCCCCAUGCAGAUACAACACCUUCAACACCUUCUAGAGAUUUCUCCAUGAAAGUUAUUAUAGACUGAAUUGUGCCCCCCACCAAAAAAAAAAAAAAAAUGUGUCGACUUGGCUAGGCCAUGAUUCCUAGUAUUGUGUGGUUGUUUACCAUUUUGUGAUCUGAUGUGAUUAUCCUGUGAGUUGUAAAUUGUAACCUCUAUGACAUUAAUGAGGCAGGAUUAGAGGUAGUUAUGUUAAUGAGGCAGGAUUCUGCAGGAAUAGGUUGUAUCUUGAGUCAAUCUAUUUUGAGAUAUAAAAGAAAGAAUAGAUCAUAGAGGAAAAGGACCUCAUUACCACAGAGAAAUAAGAGCCAAGGGCUUAGCGCAUCUUUUGGACCCACAGUCCCUGUGCUAAGAAACUCUUAGACUCAGGGGAAGAUUGAUGACAAGGACCUUCCCCCAGAGCCAACAGAGAGAAAAAGCCUUCCCUUGGAGUUGGUGCCCUGCAUUUGGACUUCUACCCUCCUAAAUUGUGAUAGAAUAAAUUUCUGUUUGUUAAAGCCAACCACCUGUGGUAUUUCUGUCAUAGCAGCACUAGAUAACUAAGACAAAAGUCAUUUUGUACCUUCCAAAGCAAUAUACUUAAAAUAGACACACUUCAUUCCCAAAUUAUUGCCUUCUCUUAUUUCCCACUGGGAGACCACCAUUUUCGUAGUCGUUCAGGUUUGAAAUUGAGGAGUCAUCAUUAAGUUUUUACUUCAAUCACAUGCUACUGUCUCCAUCCUUUUCAAGUGUCCAACUGACAACUAGCAUUCCACUUCCAUCCCUUAUGACUCUAUGCUUCGCAUGGGCACUAGCUCCUAACUGACCUCUCUUAAAUCCAUUCUUUGUAUCACCACUGGGUUAAUUUUCCUAGAGCAUCACUUGGAUUCUAUCUUUCUAGUGCAGCUCUUCUCAGGUAAAGAGCAAACAAAUUUUUCUAAUCAAGAAAGUAGGGAAUUCUACCCUGUUUUCCAAGGGUAGAAAAAGAGAGCUUGUGAGAGGACACUUUUAUGGGAAGUGAAACCCUCCCUUCCCCCCGGUGUGGCCCAGUACAGGUCCUGUCCAGGUCCUACCAGAAUAUCCAAGAUAGACUCCAUCUGCCCUCCCCCACCCAGUCUCCCCUCCUCCUAUCCAGAUUGCCAUACAUUAGCUGAGAACUACUGGAAGUAGUUCUUAAAACAGUCCUGACCCAGCUUUUCUCCUGGUCAAAACCCUUUGCUGGUCCCCUAUUGCCCCUGCUAUAGUUAUGUCUCAACCUGACCUCCACAUGCUGACAACUUCCAUUCCCUAUCUCCUUACCAAAAUUACAGCAACUAACUGCUCUAUGACCACAUCAGACAUUCUUUGGUCAUAGUGCCUCUGAAAUUUUUCUUUCAAUAUUUACAGGCCAAAAGUUUUAUUUAUUCUUCAAAUCCCUUCACAGAGCCUGCUUCUGGGAGCCACACUUGGCUAAAGUAUGUCUACGGUGGUACUUACUUUAACCAGUUGGCAUCAACUCAUGGGGACCCCAUGUGUGUCAGAGUAGAGCUGUGCUCCAUAGGGUUUACAAUGACUGAUUUUUCUGAAGUAAAUCUCCAGGACUUUCUUCCGAGGCACCCCGGGUAGACUCAAACCUCCAACCUUUCAGUUAGCAGUUGAGAGCGUUAACUAUUUGCACCACCCAGAGGCUUAGAGUGUUGUUAUUGAGGUACAAUACUUGACUGGGUAACAGAGUCUCAGAAGGCUUUACCUGUUACUAGCAGUGAGAACUUGACAACUUUUAACCUCUUUAAGUAAAGUUAAUUUUGCCAAAAGUACGUAGUUUUAGAGAGGAUUAAAUGAUUCAAUAUCUAAAAGCACCUAGUAUAAUGCUUGGCAUAGUAGGUGCCCAUAAAUGUAUUGAAUGAAUGAACAAAACCCAGUGUGAAUUCUCCUCUCCCCAAAUUUUAACCAAAAGAAAAUGUUGAGUGCUGAUUGCAUUAAUGAACUAUGUACAGUGAACUUUUAAUUACCUACCAGUACAGAAGAAGUCAGAGACCAAGGUAGUAAAAAACCACAGAUAACUCAGAAUGAAUAUAUACUUAUCUUUGGAAGGAAUUCCUAAAUUUCUUUUUCACAUCAGUUUUGUUUUCCUUGGGGAAAUGUUUAAAAUUUUAUUUUCAUUUCUAAGAGCACCAACUGAGAGACUAAAUACUUGCAAUACAUUUUAAGGCAGUAAUAGACUGGCUCAAGACUUUUUAAAACCAUAUACAAAAAGUGAUCAAGCACACUGUAUUAAUUUCCUAGAGCUGCUGUAACAAGUGCUACAAAUGGAAUGGCUUAAAAUGACAGAAAUUUAUUCUCUCACAGCUCUCAAGGCUAGAAGUUCAAAUAAGGCUGUCAAUAGAGCCAUACUCUCUCUCUGAAGACUCUAGGAGAAGAUCCUUUCUUGCCUCUUUCAGCUUCUGGUGACCCCAACUGUUCCUUGGCUUAUCAGCAUAGCUCCUGUCUCUGCCUCUGUCUUCAGUGGUCUUCUCCCCCUAUGUCUCUGUGUCUCUAUGCGUAUAUCCCUUUGCUUUCUUUUAUGAAGACACUAGUCAUUAGAUUUAGAGCCCACCCUAAUUCAAUAUGACCUCAUCUUAAUUUGAUUACAUCUGCAAAGACUCUAUUUUCAAAUAGGGUCACUUUCCUAGGUACGAGGGUUAAGACUUCAACAUAUUUUUAUGGGGGACACAAUUCAAUCCAUUACACAUACUAUUUUCACAGUGAUAUUCGGAGAAACACGAUGGUUGAAAAUCCUGACUUUGGGCACAUUCAUGAUGUUUUUGUAAUUUUCCCCUCUCACUUUCUUGGGGAACUCAUUUUUUGAAUGCCAGUACACACUUUUUUUUUUUUUUUUUAGUACUUCAUGUGAUAUUCACUGAGAGAAGAGGCUCUGGGAAAGUGCCAGGUUCUUCCAUCUCCACCUGGAAGAUGAACACUAACUCUACAGCUUCCCAUUCCUCCACAAUUCUCCAGACAUUUCUGUCACCACAUCCUCAUCUUUGUGCCAGGGCGUAAUAAGGACCUCACAAUGGGCAGAUCGGAUAGAGGAGCUACAAGGCUAUGGGGACCAUGUUCUGAAUCGGAGAUGACAAGGAGGUUUAAUUCCAAAUCAGUUGGUACCGUUCCCCUAGAGUGAGAAGGAUUCUGAGGCUUCAGCUGGCCUAGGUGGAGGGAGUGCUGUAAUCAGCUAGCAAUGUCUGCCAAGGAAUGGAAGAAAGGUUCAAUAAGCAUCGCUGCAACAAAUGUAGAGAAAAUGCCUAUAAGCACCAGGUUCAUCAGUCAGAACGAGGCCAGGGGACGACUUCAGAACAGACCAUCAAUUGCUCAUAUGCAAGUUUGAAGAAAAUAAGAACAAGUCCAGGACAGCCAAAGUAUGACCUUGAGUAUAUCCCAUCUGAAUUUAGAGACCAUCUCAAGAAUAGAUUUGACAGGUUGAACACUAAUGACCAAAAACCAGAUUAGUUGUGGAAUGACAUCAAGUGUAUCAUACAUGAAGAAAGUAAAAAGUCAUUAAAGAGACAGGAAAGAAAGAAAAGACCAAAAUGGAUGUCAGAAGAGACUCUGAAACUUGAACAUCAGUAGUUAAAACAAAUGGAAGAAAUGAUGAAGUAAAAGAACUGAACAGAUUUCAAAGCGGGGCUCAAGAAGACAGGGUAAAGUAUUGUAAUGAUAUGUGCAAAGACCUGGAGGUAGAAAACCAAAAGGGCAGAACACUCUCAGCAUUUCUCAACCUGAAAGAACAGAAGAAAAAAUUCAAGCCUGCAGUUGCAAUACUGAAGGAUUCCACAGGGAAAAUAUCGAAUAUUAAAAGUGCCCACUGCCAUCUAAAGUACCUAAGCAUCAGCUUUCACUGUAAAAAAAAAAAAAAAGUACCGUACACAUAUAUGUUGCUAUUACCCUGUAUCUGUAUAUCCUUACCUUUAGGCAAUAUUUACAUAUUUGUAUGUAACUUGGAUGUUAGUGGGGUAUUCCUACCUGUUAAGAGCUAGAUAAAACUGUUCCACGUCUGAAUCUGUGUCUUGUGGUAGCAUAGUGUUCUCUCCAUGAUUUCCUUGGACCCCAGGGUGGGGGUGGAGGGUGUGGCAGGAAAGAAGAUGGUUCUGCUGCCAUAGGUCUGUCUUCUGUCCCCACUAAUUUGGUUCAUUUAUGGAGGUCUGGCCAUCCUGUGCUUGCUUCCCCACACUAUGUCAGACAUCGGCCCGAACACUUUCUACGAUUCGCACAGGGAAAUUCUAUAUACAUAAAGGCUUUAUGUGGGUAGCGGUCUUUACUGAAGAUUGGAGGACAAGGAGGAGAGGGUUUCAUCACAUCAGUGCACAUAAUUUCAAGUUGCAGGUGAAACAUCCCUCUUCUUAAAAGUCCUUUUUUCACCCCCACCAGGAAUUUUUCACUGCCUGCCUUAUUUAUGCCAGAGAGCAUCACACCAUACUUUUCUCUGUUUCUUUCCUUCUCAGAAACAAGCAGGCAUACAGAAACAUGCUAUAGGCAUUUACUGUCUUUUUGGUUGCUAUAUCCUUAAUUUCAAGAUCUUGUCUUACAUCUCAAGAGGCUUCAUAAAAUAUUUUUUUAAAGAAUAUUCUCUCCCUAAGAGGUAUUCUGUUCCCAGCUAAGGUAAUAACAGUUUCACACCAAAUACAUGUCAAGUCAGCCCCAACUCAUGGUGACUUUGUGUAUGAGAGAAUGAAAUGUUGCCUGGUCCUGCACCAUCAUUGGCAUGUUAGAGCCCACUGUUGUAGCUAUUGUGUAUUUUAAGUGCCUUCUAACCUUCAGGGCUCAUCUCUCAGCUCUACAUUGGACAAUAUUGUGUUGUGAUCCUUAGAGUUUUCAUUGGCUAAUUUUCAGAAGUACAUUGUCAGGCCUUUCUUCCUAGUCUAUUUUAUUCUGGAAGUUCUGCUGAACCUAUCCACCAUUGGUGACC